rnacentral:rRNA from 1 species
CUUUUGAUGGCGACCGGCGCACGGGGUGAGUAACACGUAUCCAACCUGCCUCAUACUCGGGGAUAGCCUUUCGAAAGAAAGAUUAAUACCCGAUGUUAUAGUCCUACCGCAUGAUGGGAUUAUUAAAGAAUUUCGGUAUGGGAUGGGGAUGCGUUCCAUUAGUUAGUUGGCGGGGUAACGGCCCACCAAGACAACGAUGGAUAGGGGUUCUGAGAGGAAGGUCCCCCACAUUGGAACUGAGACACGGUCCAAAUUCCUACGGAAGGCAGCAG